AUGUUCGUUUUGGCAGCACGUUUCCUGAAUCUGGGAUGACACAGAAAAGGGUCGCAUGGUCCCUGGACAAGGAUGACAUGCAAAUUAGUGAUGUAUUCAUGGGUUUU
ensembl:snRNA U6 U6 spliceosomal RNA